CCAUAAAGAGUUGUCCUAUUAUUGUAGACAUGUCUAUGGACAUGUCUAACAGCAAUCCAAUGUGAUCUUUUUUCAGCGAACAUAUCCAAUGAAAGUCCAAAGGAUUAUCAUUGGACAUUCGUUUGGGAUAUGUCCAAUUACAGUCUUAUAUCUAGUCUAAUGAUUUUUCUUGGGACGUGUCCUUCACUUGUCCUAUAUGAGUCCAAUUUCCGUUUACAUUGAACGUUUCCAAUGCCAGUCCAAUGGAUUAUCAUUGGACAUUCGAUUGUGAUAUGUCUAACAGUAGUCUAAUGUUUAAUCCUACGAUUUAUGUUAGGACACCAUAAUCAAACGUCCUAUGCUACUCCAAGGUAAUUUCAUAGGACAUUCUAAUUGGACGUAUCUAAUGCCAGUCCAAUAGAUUACCAUUGGACAUUCGAUUGAGAUAUAUUCAACCAUAGUCUAAUGUUUAAUCCUACAGUUUACCUCAGGACACUUUAAUCAGACAUCCAAUGCUAGUCGAAGGAAAAUUUAUAGGACAUUCUAAUUGGACAUAUCCAAUGCCAGUCCAUUGGUUUAUUAUUGGACAUUUGUUUGAGAUAUGUCCAACGAUGGUCGAACGUUUAAUCUUACGAUUUAUCUUAGCACAUCUAAUUCAAACGUCCUAUGCUAGUCCAAAGGAAUUUCAGAGGAAAGUUUACGUUAGACGUAUCCAAUGCCAGUCCAUUAGUUCAUCAUUGAACAUUCGAUUGGGAUAUAUCCCACGAUUGUAUAAUAUCUUGUACUACGAUAUCUCUUAAGACGUCUAAUUCAGACGUCCAAAGCUAAUCCAAAGGAAUAUCAUAGGACGUUAAAAUUUCAUAUAUCUAAUGCCAGUCCAACUAUUUUCAUUGGACUUUCGACAUAUGCUUCCAUCGAUAUGUCUUACGUUUGUUCAAAUGUCUUUGUUCUGUGAAGAGUGCGUGUGUAGCAGCGUUGGAAAAUGGAAAAAUGGGAAAAAUAUCCGGAAAAAUAGCAAAGUAAGUACAUUAUACACUAAUUAGGAUAUAGUUAAACGAUGUGUAUAAGAAAUUAAGUUGCAAUUUAUAUAAUUGUACGCGAAAAUAGAAAUUUUCUUUUUUACAGGUUACGUGUUUCGACAAGUCCAGGUGAGAGAUUUUUUUCGAAUAAAAGCAGCUACAUGUUCCCGGCGUUCCCGGACAACUAUCUUACGGAUACUCCCACGUUACAAAAGCUCGCCAAAGAGAACUAUCAGCAUUUAUGACGAAGGGAAUGGAGAAAAGAAAAGACCGUGCCUUGGAAAACAGAAGUAGGAGAGCAUCCCGUGUCUUGGAAAACAGAAAUUGCAGAGCAUCCCGUGUCUUGGAAUACAGGAGUUGCAGAACAUCUCAAAGACCCAGGACGUCAGAGUUCAACCGCCGAAGGACAAAGUAUCAUACAUGUAAGAUUUAUAUAUAUAAUUUUUAAAUAAAAAAAUAAAAAAAUAAUUCAAAGCGUUUUUUAGUAAAAAAAAAAUAGAAAAAAAUUGGACAUAUCCUAAGCUAUUCGUAUGAAAUGUCCUACGACGCGUCCGCUAGAACUUUUCUAAAUACGGACCUGUCCUAUGCUAUUCGUAUGGACUGUCCAUUGAUGUAUCCACUGAAAAUUUUGCACACUGGAUAUGUCUUAUGCUCUUUGUAUAGACUGUCCCAUGGAUUGUCCUCUGAGGUGUCUGCUAGAUUUUUACUCUACACGGAUCUGUCCUAUGCUAUUCAUAUGGAUUGUCCACUGACUCGUCUUCUAAAAAUUUUCUAAACACUGGAUAUGUCCUAUGUUCUUUGUAUAGGCUGUCCAUGGACUGUCCCCUGACGUGUCCAAUAAAAAAUUUUGUAAACAUUGGACAAAUCCUAACCGGAAAUAAGUGACAAGUCCUAUGAUCUGUCCAAAAUCUGUCGUACGAAAGCAAGACUCGGAAGUCAUGAAAAUGUCUUUGAGGAUGUCUUAUUUUGUCGUAGGACAGAAUAUAAGAAAAAAACAAGAAAUUUCCAUGGGACACAUGGGACGAAUCCAUGGACAAUCCAUUGGAUUGUCCAUGGACACUCUU